rnacentral:tRNA from 1 species
GCUCCGAUGGUGAAACUGGUAGACACUGGAGACUUAAAAUCUCCCGCCGCAAGGCGUGCCGGUUCGAUUCCGGCUCGGAGCACCA